rnacentral:rRNA from 1 species
AAAGUCGUAACAAGGUUUCCGUAGGUGAACCUGCGGAAGGAUCAUUACCACAUUUCGUCUCCUUCUCUGCGAGACGAUAUCCACCCCACGUGAACAUUGAGAUGUUUUCUGACAUUCAAUUUCUCUCCACCCCAAAUGCCAACCUACCUCUGAUUGUAGAUUGAGUGCGAUGAUGUGUGCUGGAGCCCUUUCUCGGGCUGUCAAUGCAUGUGACACACUCAAGACCACAAACCCAACCAAAACUCCUAACGAUGGAUAUCUUGGUUCUCGCAACGAUGAAGAACGCAGCGAAAUGCGAUACGCAGUGCGAAUUGCAGAAUUCAGUGAAUCAUCAGAACUUUGAACGCAUAUUGCGCUCUGAGGUAUUCCUCAGAGCAUGUUUGUCUCAGUGGCAUCUCCCUCUCUCCCCCUGUGGGUUUUCUCACGCCAGGGUGGUAGGAUUGCGAGCCGUCCGAGAAUCGAUUGCUCGAUCUCUCUGUCGCUCCAAGAGCAGAGUUGGCCCGCUUGGCGACACAUUGAACUGUCUUGUGCCGAGCGUAGCGUGGUAGUAGGGUGCGCUGUAUGGUGCAUCCCUUCCGAUCGCUGUCGCUGUUGUGCACAUGAGGCAGGUGUCUGCUGCACUACUGGCGGUGAUUCCGGCUAGAUCGCACGGCAUGCUGUGGAGAGAGCUGAUGAGUGAUGGGUCUUUUUGGACUCGUUGCUCGUUGGGUUUUCUGUCUGCGGUGUGUUUGUCUGGCAUUUGAAUCUUGCCCUGAGAUCAAGCAAGGCUACCCGCUGAAAUUAAGCAUAUUCAAUAAACCGGAGGAAAUCCUUAGGGAAUUCCCGGCCCCCCUGGCAGUCGACCAUAUGGGAAAACCUCCCAACGCGUUGGGAAGGCAUAGCUUGGGUUUUUCUAUAGGGGCCCCCCUAAUAAGCUUGGGC